GUUAAGUUUUCGCGCUGGGAUUCAAAAUAUUUUAAAAAUCACCCAGAAGUUUUUGUGUGUGCAAGAAACUUCCUGCUGUUUGGAGACGUUACAUCUGAAAUGCUCAUAUGCUGGUAGUUGUUGGUGCUGCAGAUGACGGGAUUCUUACACUGUAGACAUGCAUGUAUGAGUCUACCAAAACUUUUAAAAUCAGUAAAAUCAGUAUAUAGUAAGUCACAUGAAGAAAAAAUCAUCAUUUAAAAAACUUCUCCAGAGUCUUCAGUUACUUUUAUCGUCGUCUCUGGAUUGGAUAAUAAUUAAUUUAGAUGGAUAAAAUAUUUGACUGUAAAUUUACAACUACUUUACAGUAAUUCACUGUCAAUAUUUCACAGUGGUUAACUUUGCCUGUGUUGAUUUCAAUGUAAAAUUUGACGUUACAAUACUGUAUUGUGAACAUUGCAAUUAAAGCCUGUGAAGUGAAUCCAAGAGUAAAAUAAUGUAAAAUUCUGGUAGUAAUUUAGUGGAGAAAAGGAGACAGGUUUCAGAAACAAUAUUUCUCGUUGUUAUUCUAAGUGUAUAUUUUUGGAGACUGUCUUGACAAAAAUGAGGCUAAAAAUAGUGAAAAGAAAACAUAUGAAGUGUUGACAGUGGUAAAUUUGAUUAUUUCAUUUCAGCUCAUUUCAAACUCAAAACCAGCAACAUGAUUAAUAAAAAAGUUUGGACGGAGAUGACAAAACUGAAAAAAAAUCUCCUUCAAUGAUUUUGAUUUCCUAAAGAUUGACUUUAAAAAGUCAGAGAGUCUCUUAGAAAUGAAGCCUGGCUGUUACACUAUGAGAGAUCACAUGAGCGAAUACUUUGUCACUUCUAUAAUAAUGUAAAAUCAUCAACAGUACUCUCAUACAUGCAUUAAAAGAUUCAGCGCAUCUAAGGCUGUCAACCAUGACUGUGAGCGUCUGCCCUUGGGUGGCUCUUCAUUGAAGACAGACACGACUCUGUAGUGGACAUCACCGUAAAUGCAGCUUUAAACUCGGUCAGUGAGGAGAAAACCGUGAACAUAAUCUGAAAACACCUGUAAUGUUUUCAUCGACAUCAUUUAAAUUUCUUUGGUAAAACCACAAAAAGUGGAGCUGGGAUGUUGAUGAUUGCAGAUACUAAAUGUUCUAACUACUUUAAAAUCUUUUACUAUUUUCAGUUUUUCAAUAACAGUUUCAAUGCUGAAUUGACUUCCUGUCACUGUUUGGAAAGACUCAGGAAAUCCUCAGGGACUUUUUUUUCAGUUUUGAUCCUUUUUCACCUCGAGCCAUUUUCAGCCUCCCUGCAGAGUCCCGUCCCCUCCCUUUUUUUUAGCGCUCACCCCCAGGCCGUCCUCAACUCUCACAGACCUCCUAUCCUCUGAUGUAACCCUCCUCACUGUGACACCGCAUCCCCCCACCCUCUUCUUCUUCUUCCUCGUCCUCACCCUCCCACUCUCCCUGUUUCUGGGUCUCUCGUCCUGUGUGGGCCCCCGUCAGCAGCUCAGGGUCAGCUACAGUUUCAGAAAUCCUGCUCUCACUGCUGUCACCUAUCUACUUAGCUGUGACCCCCCACCCCCCACCACCCCCAUCUCACAACACACACCAAGCCACAAACCACACUGCUGCUGCUGUCACACCGUUUCCUCCCGAUGCUCUUAAAAUUGAUUUCUUUGAGCUGGUGUUGCUUUAUGAGUUUUUUGUUUUGUUUUGAACUUUAAUCAGAUUUUCAUUAAGAAAACAAUAUAAUGUAUAGAUAAUGGAGGAGUCUUAUUUCACUCGAUUAUAUUCUUUAUCGCAUCAACACCAAUACAAAGAAAAUGUUAAUCUUAUCUUUGAUGGUCUUGUUUGCAUUAAUCUUGAUUUCAGUCAGAUUCAGGAAAAACUCCCCAUUAGAGCUUUAAGUUACUUUAUAAAGAUCCCCGGUUUAGAGAUGCUCACACCAGCUCUGAUGCAGGUGCAAGGACUGCUUCCCUUUCCUCUUUCAGACAUGGCUCCUCAGGCUGCCCUCACAUCCCUAACCACUACAUUUGUUUAUCUCCAGACUCUCAAGACCAAACAUGAGACUUAAAUUAAGGUUUUUCCACAGUGUCAACAGGCAGAGGUCAAAGUUCUGCAGAUUAAUUUAGCAAAGCGUGUUUGAUCGGGUUCACAUCUGACUUAUGGAGUUUCAGCCAAUCAGAAUCAAGUAUUUACCACACCCAGGUUAUAACCUAUUUAGCCUUAUGAACAGAAAACCUUCAGCAGUCAUUUAUCGUGUAAGUGUUACCAAACUGCAUCUGUUUUACUGCUUUAACCAUGCGUUAAAUUAAUGUACAACUUCGAAUUGCAAAAGCUCAAGUUUUAUUUUGAAAGGACAUCUUGAACACUUCCUAAGCCUCUGUAAAACAUGGCAAACAUGCAGAAGUCAUUUCUCCUCUCUCUGUUUGGAUGUGUGUCAUAUUUUUAUCUUAUCUUAUCUCAUCUGGAUUUUCUAAACAGAUCUGAUUUCUGUUUGUAAAAACAGAAAGCAUCAGUGAGCUGUAACUCUUCAUCUCUUCACUCUGCUGGAGAAAAAAAACUGUAUUGGCAGGCUCGCAGUUAGUCCUCAUUACAUAUUGAUACAGUUGAACAUACAGUAAAGUGUGUAUUAAGUAUUAAGCACUUUAAAUUUUUCCCUCUCUCCAAAUUUGUGAGCCAAAUUUGUGCAUCUUUAAUGUUUUAUUUACUUGCAGCUGGUGAGCCACGGUAUAAUAAUUUCUGCCUCUGCUGUGGGGAGCUGGGGUUUAUCGUGUCGCACACUCCUGGGUGGUACUGCUGCUUUGCAUACAUGCACACACACACACACAUAGAUAGAUAUACAGGCAAAUGUGGGGAACAGUCACGGGUCACAAGCAACGAUCGAUGCAACAUCCAUUGUAACACUGCAUACUAGGCUGUUAUGUGCUUAUUAUUGCUGAGAGAGCUCAUGAGGAAGCUCUGGCCAUGUCUCAGGUUGUAGUUUUCAGCAGGUGCAGCAGGUGUGGAAGAGGAGAUGUCGAUGGUGUCUUUGUUUUCUGGCAAGUUUAAUCUCAAAACCUUAUGUCCUGACAAAAACUACAUUUUUCUUCUUCAGCUCAGCCCAUAAUCAAGAGAAGCACACUCUCGGGGAAACACACAUCCAAUUUUCUGUGUGAACCUGAUGCCGCAGUGUGGUUUGAGGGUCAGGCCUCCUCCUCCUCCUCCUCCUCCUCCUCCUCCUCCAGCAGCAGCAGCAGCAGCGGUCAGUGUUUGUUUGGUUAAAACUGCACGACAACGAGGUCGGAUUUCACAGAGAGGGAAGAGAGAGACGGCAAAUAUGACACCUCUCCUCAGCAUCCCUUAGACACACUGAUACACCAUACACACACACACACACACACACACAGCAUCAAACACACACCACCACACACCUUUUGUUUACUAAACAUUCCACCUUUGAAAUAUUUAUUACAACUGGGAGUCUCAGUGUGUGUAUGUGUGUGUGUGUGUGUGUGUGUGUGUGUGUGUGUGUGUGUGUGUGUGUGUGUGUGUGUGUCUGUCUGUGUGUGAGGUUACCUCAGAGACAGCUGAUUAUCAGGGAAGAGGAGAUGAUAAUAGUGUGUAAAAGAGGCAUGUGUCACACCGAUACUCAUUUAUAUAUAGACAGAGAUAUGCGUCACACUUCAUACUGUCAGCUUCUUCACCUGUACUUCAAGUUAUUUUAUUCCUGCAUGUUUCAUAUUUUCAAACAUAUGCAUUUAUUUUAAUUAAUAACACUUUUUCUCAUGCAAAUCUUUUAAUACAGGACUGACUUUCAGUCAAAUGUUUGUUUUUUUUUUAAAGCUGACACUUCUGCACACUGACACUGAAAUCCUGUGGAAAUCUGAAUGCAAAACAAAGUGGUGAGCAGAAGAGAUGCACUAAUUCAUCUUUGCACAUUCUUGCACACCAAGCAGACGUAUUAUCAUAGUGAAUCUGUGUGAUCAAUAAGUGAUCAAGGCCUGUGCGAUGCUUUCUCCGCCAUCUCGUUCCUGCUGCAGAAUGUGCAAACUACGGUAGCCCUCAAGGUCAAUGGUAGAAAUAUUUCAGGAGUGCAAUAAUUUGGUAUGCAGAUGUUAUUUAAAAAUUAUUGCAUGUUUUUAUAAUCUAUUUGCAAUUAUGUGAAAUAUCUUUAUGUUUUGCAUUUUUUUAUGAAACAUAAUUUAUUAACCUUCUGAAAUAUCUAUACCAUUGACCUUUUAGGGCCACCGUACAUGCCUGGAACUCCAUCAGCAUGAAGAUUAUCACUCUUAGACAAACAUCAGGUAUGUCGUAAAUGUAAGGUUACAAAGGUCUGUGCGCCGGCUGAGGAAUCGAGUACAUUCGCACUUCACACGCCAGUUUUGACCGUGAACAAUGAAAACGAUACCUGAACCAGCAGAAAUCAGUCUGGACAGCGCACAUGGAUCCACAUGGGGAAUAGGUUGAGAUAUAUGGAAGAGCCAGAGGUCACAGAGGUCAAAGGUCACAGGCUUCCACAUGUAACUUGAGAUUGGAGAUGAUAUACUGUAGGUCAAAGGUCGAGGUUGUUACUUUUUCUCUUUUGUCGCUCCGGCUCUAUUUCAUCUUUCAUCAUGUUAAAGAUCGGCUCUGAUGUGAUGACAGUUAUCUCACAUUUUCACGCACAAAAACACACACUAUCCCACACACACACACACGCACACACUUACACACACUUACACACAGAGUCUGAAUCUGUCUGCCGCUCUUUAAUCACGUUUAGCUUCAUUGUUUUAAUUUCCCAGCUCAUCGCUCUCCCUCCUCUCUCCUGAAUCUCAUUGGACAAUGAAAUCAGGAGUAAAGUGGGACUGAUCCUCAUAAAUCAUUAAGCAAGGUUUGUUUUGCCUUGUGAAUGUAAUUAAUACAUAAUUAAUAUUUAAAGAUCCUCUCGUUUAUCAAAAUUAAUUUCUCUGCUGCGACAGAUGCAAAGAUGGAGGAAAACAAACAAACGAAUGGAGGAGGUGGGUUUUUUUCUGGAGGAAGGGAAGAGAGCGAGAAACAAAGGAGGGAGGUGAAGAGAAAUUAGCGGUAAUGAGGAACAAAUGAGGCGACGUCUUAAUUAGCUGACAGGUAGUGGCUCAGUCCCAGAGGAAGAAGAGGUGAAUUUAGCCUCCCUGUCAGGUUGUACAUGGCUUUGUUUGCAUAAUUCAAAGUUAAAAAAAAGAAAGAUUGAACUUCAGACUAUUUUUUAAUUGACUACAAGAUAAUUAGGCAAAAUAUUGUGCAAAUAAUUGCAUCUCUCUCUCUCUCUCUCUCUCGCUCUCUCUUUCUUCACUCGUCCUCCGCCUCUGGAGACUGUCACAAGAGCGAGUUGUUCAGUGCCGUUAAGUGGGACCACUUUACCCUGUCAAUACUUUGAAUAGAGCCGUAUUGACCUGUGCCAUGAGACGACUUCACAGAGAGAGAGAGAGAGAGAGAGAGAGAGAGAGAGGAUGGAAAAAUAAGAAAAAUAAAAGAUGGAGAGAAGUAAGAUGAUAGGAGUCGUAUUUUCUGUAUUUUAAAUUGAUUUUUAUUCAGUCAUUUCUCUUAUUUUUUUACCUUUAUGAUUGUCAGUUUGUCUGAUACAGAGUCGCUGUUGUGAUGCUUCACCAAGACGCAUCUACCAGUCUAGAAAGCCAAGGUGCUGAAAACUGCAGUUCCUCCAGUGUCCACUUGGGGCUGGCUCCAAAAGUAUCAGCAACCACACACACAUAAAAAAAGCAGAUUUUUACAACAAAUAACCUUUUUUUUUCUGGUUUAUCUGAAUAUCUUCUAUCUAUCACAGAGUUCUUUUUUUAAAUUUUAUAUAAUUUUUGAAGAUAUUAACACUUCAAUGCCUGAAACCACAAAUUAUGGCCAGAAAAUUCUUUUUUUUUUUUUUGGAGCUGAAAUGUUUAUUUUACUUACGACUGAAAACCAAAAAAAUCCAAAUGUCCUUAAAUGUUUGAUACAUCAGAUGUUUUUGGAAACUGAUAAACCACAAGAGGACAUUUUAAUCAUUUAUCUGACUGUGUUAAGGUGUUUUUUUUUUUUUUGUAAUUUGUUGAUCAUAUUGAUUGAUAGAAGUAUUAUAAAAGUAUGUAUCAAAUAUGAUACAAAGGGCAAUAAAGGGUUAAGGUGACAAAUUUUGCAGCAUUGGACACACAGCGGACUCGGACAUCUGGGCAUAAUGUAGCUGUAGGCGAGGAAGUUUAAGGCCUACCUCUUUGACUCUUGGUAGGUUGAGUUAGCCUUUCUGAUAUGGUGAGCACUGCCAAUAAGCUUUUAAACUAUGCUUCAGAUACAGGUGAUGUUACUCACGUCAUACAUUUAGAGGCUUAAGUCCUAGCUGUUGUGGUCGUGACCCUUUGCUUCAUGCUGUUGUCGCCCUUUCUCCUCAAUAACCUGCAACACAAUGGAAAGAGAUGUUGGGCUUUUUAGAAAUGGAGCUGAAUUAAAAAAAACAAAAAAACAAGUAGGACCUAAAAUGGAGCCUUGAGGAACUCCUGAAACUAGAGGGGCUGCUUUUGAAUAUUACUGGCCAAGAUGAAUGGAGAACCUCAAACCUCAAACCAUGACGUGAGAGUCUGGUGAUCGUCUGCAUCAAAUGUCAAAAGCGGCAAAGCAGUCAAGUCCAGAAACAGAGAGUGGUAGAGGUUCAUAUGUUUGCACGUACACCUGCAUGACUGAAUAAAAGAGCAGAGGGCAUCAAACACACACACACACACACACACACACACACACACUUCCUGGGCCCUGUGCUCUGAUGAAAGCAGUUCCUGGCUAAUGGGUUAAUUUCAUUCCACUGCUCUCUGCCAUGUUGAGGACAAUUAGCCCAGAAUGGAGCUGUGAAUAUUUAAUGACAUCCACUGCAAAGGUAGAAAGAGAGAGAGAGAGAGAGAGAGAAAGAGAGAGCCUUGGUUGGGAGAUUGGAGGGUCAGAAAGCAGAAGAAAUUCCUGCUCAGAGAAGAAGGAAGGCAGAACGACGGGAUGAUAUUGGACCUCAGGUUUAGCUGUAACUGUCCAAGACUCUUAAGUAUAUGAACCUUUCUUAAGUUUAGCCAAAGAUCACGGGCUUUAGAAACACAAGAAAAGUCAUGUACUGCAGCACACAGGUUGGUGUGUCUUUGUAUUGCAUGACCAUAUUGUACAGUGUGCAUCUUUUCAAUAAAUAAUAAAUAAAUAACACACCUUUACUUCUCCUCACUGAAAAAUAAACUUUGCAAACUUUCCUCACAGGUCUCAAAGUUUUUGACUUCUACCUUCAGAGUUGACGAAGACUGAAGAAACUCGAUCAAUUUUACAAGAUCUCAACUUUGCGAAGCGCUCCAGCUUUAAAUUUAAAAGACAAAGAAUGAAGAAAUGAUGUUUACACCGCUGGACCACGGUUCAGUACCUUGUCACUUUGGACUUUCAAACUCACAAUUAAGUUGAAUACAAGAUGGCGGACUGGCAGACGAACUUCUGAUCAGCUGGACUAUUCGGCGUGUGCCCUGAGGUGACAAGUGUAAAAGCUACACUGCGGCCUGUCAAUCAAAAUCCACCUCCAGCGCGCCGAUUCUGCAGAGAAACACAGAAAACUGAAUGAAACCCGAACACAGAGCAGCACUCCUUAAUUGGUGAAUUGAUCCUCAUCUGCCAAUCAAAACCCUGAAUUAUUAAUUGAAUGGAUGACAGUAUUGAGGAGCCUGAUUUAUUGGAUGAGGAGCUGGGAUGCUGAUGGGUUGUUAUGGUGAUGAGGGUUGUUAUGGAGAUAAUGGAGGGCUCAUGAUUGAACAGUGGAAGGUAUUGAUUGUGUGUUUGACAGCUUUACUGCCCCUCAGUGUCUGAGUGAAACAGAUUAUGUUACAUGUUUCAUGUGCAGCAUGAGAGUAAAAGUAUGAGCCGAGACUCUGUAAUGACAACUUUCAGCAGAAGGACUGAAGUGUGACAGACUGAUGGGGAUUCGCUGUGCUAGUCAGAGAUCCUGAGAGGUCUUACUUCACUAUUUACAACCCCAAUCCCCCCAAAAUCUCAACAUUGUAAAUACUGAUUCAUAAAACAAUGCUGAUGUAAAGCAUCUGACAAAACAAUGAAAAGUUGUGUAACACUUUAAAACGCCUCACAGCUAAUGAGGUUAAUUUACAACAGGUUAGUAACAUGACUAAGGCAUUCAAGAGAGGCUGUGAGAGACUGUGUGAGCAAAUAGUUCACCACUUUCAGAAUAACUUUGGGGAUUUCACCAUCUACAGUAUUCAGAAAAAAUCUGGGAAAAAUAUCUGGACUAAAGUGACAAGCUCAGAAACUUUAAAAACUGACAUGACUCCAAAUCACUCCUAAAUAUCCGUUUCUGUGAGCUCAUUUUUUUUGCUUGUUGCAUCAACAAACAGGUUAAAACUGUAAAAUGCAAAGAGGAAACCACAUGAUCCAGAAACAUUAUUGAAGCCUGUGCCAAUUUCAGAAGCCUUCCUGUCGUCUUAAAAACAAAUUUUAAAAUUCUUUUGGAAAUCAUGAACAUCACACCCUGGGGCUUGUUAUCAGCUCAGGGUUCAAAACCCAGCAUCCAUACGUGUCCAUGGCAUGGGUAGCUUGAACAUCCUGGAAGGUACUAUCAGUGCUUGUUGUGCACUUUGAGAUUUGUUUUUAAAUGUUAAGUGCGCUACAAAUAAAAUCUAUUAUUAUUAAUAUUAUUAUCAGUGCUGAACAAGUUAUACAUAUCGUCACCCUAUUAAAAUAAUGGCCUAAGUCAUUUUCGACGAAAACGAGUUUUUGGCCGAUAUCAUCUCGAAAUCAUCUCAAUAGAUGAUGUAGGACAAAAACAAAUUUUUGUCAAAAAAUGACUUAGGUCAUUAUUUUAAUAGGGGAAAAUAUGCUGCCAUGAUAAGGAAGGAAGAUGCCAAACAACAUUUUGCUUGCGAUACAUGCUCCAACCUUUCUGAAACACUUUGUCUUACCCUCUUCGUUUUCAGUGUUUGAUAUGUUGCCUUUACUCCAUCUUGAAAUGAGGCCUUUACCAGCUCACACCAGGAAAAUAGUCAUGGGUAAACACAGUGACUUUGGUAAUAAGAGCCCGCUCCACAUGCAGCCACCUUUCUGGUUAAGCUCUACCUGGAGCCGUGGGAGAGCAUAUGGCACAUGAACGGAAGGAUCAGCUCUGCAGAGUCCUGUAUACUAUCCUGUUACUCUGUGGUGACAUACAGUGAGUUGUUGUCACCGACAGCUGCUGCUCACGAACGCCACACUUGUGCCAGGACUGGUUUCGUAGCCAACGCGGCCUGUAUCUUUUAAAUUAAAGAUCCAGAGUUCGGUUUCACACACUCGACCAAGUAACAAUCAGUUUAGAAUGACUGAAAGUGUUAAAAAUGAUGUUCCUUUCAAUAGUUGAGUGCAAAUCUGUUAACAAAAGUCUCAAGAAUUAUUGAACUGCCGUUUUAUACAUGUAUGUGCAAAUUUCCCAUGAGGACUUUCUUCUUAAGUAAACCUUUCUCUUUUCAGCAAAGACAAAAACAGGGAUUCAGAUAAAUUACUCUCUCUUAGGUCACUGUCAGUUUUCUUUCUCGCUCUCUAAGCAGUUUUCUCAUCCUGGGUCUCUGGUGUAUCAGGGAGAAAUGAAGUGCAGGAGCAUAAUGCACCAUAUUGAUAUCUCACAUGUCAAAACAGGGCAAAUUACCAUCCCCUCUUAGAGUCUCUGACCCGACCUCGAGUGCAUAACAUCCGCACUUCCAGCUCAUCGAACCCUGUCAUUCAGCGGUACGAUGGAUGAUGGGUUUAGCAGGGCGGCCUUCAAACUCUGAGUUUUAAAGUCCUAUCAGUCCAGAUUAUUUCUUAUGUUGUUAGCAAAAUCAAAAGUUUACCCUGUUUUAUAUCCAGUCAAAUAAUCGAUCUGGUUUUACUAAAUUUCACAGUGUUGUAACUUGUCUGAAAGUGGGUUUGUCAGUGUGAAAAAUAUGUUUGACGUCGAGUUCAGGGGAUCUCGAUUUGUCUGAUUUUCUCUGUGUUUCUCUCUGACAGGUUCAUGAGGGGAAUCAUGACGGACCAUCAUGCAUCUAAAAGGCCAGAUGUUCGUCUCUCUGCAGCCCUUAGACCACCCACGGUGUGAGCUCAUAUCGAAGAAACCAUGAUUGGGAACUGAACUGAACCUGCUGUCUGUGAAAACUCCCCUGAAGUUUUGCUUCCAUCACAGUCCCUUUGUUUGAUGAUACGCACUUAAAAUACAGUCACCUCAAGCCGCAGUUUCACUUUUUUGUGCUGUUGCUCACGUUGUCUGGUUUGUUUUGCAGAAAUGACGUGCACGAGGGAAAAUGCACUAUAUCGAUAUCUGAUCAUGUCAGAACACAACAAAUUACCGUCCUGCCGUCUCUAAGACAGACUCCCUAAGAUUUGAUCCAUAAAUCAUCUACACUCGGCACUCAUCAGGCUGUCUCGCUCACAGGAGCAUUAAUGCGUUUUGUUGAUCAGCAUUUCAGAGGCCAUUAAGAGCAGAGAGCUUUGAUAGAAAAACACAGAGUUACAGACCUACCUGCAGAGAUCGGGAGCUAUUUUUGGACUGAUGGAUGAUGGUUCUCAUCAGGAGCAGAGUCCAAUUCUGUUUUUAUAUUCAUGAUAACACACUCAAAGUUCCCAGUACUGGAUAUCUCCUGGUAAAAACGGUCUUUUUAAUGCGAAACAAUCCACUCUAAUCAAGAAAAAUACAAAAAUCUUCAUGUUAAGUGGGAAAAAAAUCCUCUAAGAGGUAAACAAGACAUGCAGAGAUAUUGACACACAACAAGAACCAUCAAAGCGAGCACGCAGACCCACACACAGACAGUAGAUCACAGGCAUGUUUACAGACAGACAGACAGAGCAGACGGAUGAAUAAAUGAUGUGUGUGAUCUAUAAUGAAUGCCUCUCAUUCAUUACACAUUCUCACAUUCAACAGGCCACUCCACAGGCCACAACACUGUCCUCCCAGUCUGGGUCUGUAUCUGGCCAAUCACUGUGUGAGUUAGAUGAAUGCGUCUGGGAGACAGGAGGAAGAUCAUUGGUUUGUUUUGACAUCAGUGGGCGGAGUUAAAGGACCAUAGGAAUGUUUGGCUGAAUUCUACAUUUGUACAUCCGUAGGCUCUUUGAACGGACUGGUUGAAUUUGUAUACAAGAGGGUAAAAAUCACAGUGAAGUCAACUUGAAUUAAAUCAGGCAGCAUCAUACGAGUAAAGACGUGGCAGGUCUUUCUUUAAAGCAUCAAAAAGUAAAUAAACUAAAGAGCACUUUUUCAGGAAGCAAUAAGGAAGCAUCUAAUUUUCUUUAAUAAGGUCACAGGUGGUUCUGAUCCUACGCUGAGGUGAAGAAGACAUUAAAGAUGUGACCAAUGAGCUUUUAUGUUGUUUCGUGUUGAAUGGGAGGUGAUGAUCAAACAUGGCUCCCAUCUGUCCGUGUUGUGACCCGGUCGGUAUUUUACUGCACAAUCUGUUACAGGCGAGGUCAAUACCUCCAACUCAACCCCAGUUUUAAACAGUGUUGUUUUCGUCAGGCAGGACAAAAGCUAAAAUGAUGACGUCAGACCCCUUUUUUCCUUGACGAACAUGAGACUAAGACGAACGUCACCAAAGCUCUGUAAAGACUAAAAUGUGACGAAAAUUGUAUUCAUUUUUGUCAGACGAGAACGAGACGAGACUAAAUCGUUAUUAGGUGGACGAACAAAGUUUCAAAACAUGCUUUUUUUUGUCCUAACAGUCACGCCCCCAUCACACACGCACCAAAAGCCUCCUUCCUGGUCCUACUUCAGAUACAGUCCAUUAAGACGGGGGAAAAAAACAACUCACCUUUAGAAAGUUCGAUCUGUCUCAGUGUGCUUCAUUAUAAUACCUGUAUUGGCCUAUUAGAUACAUACACAUAUGUUAUGUAUAAGUAUCUUUGAUUUUUGACUAAAACUAUCAAGGAUAGAAAUGACUGAAAUGGGACUAAAACGAAGAAGCAUUUCGUCAAAAUGACUAAGACUAAAUCUAAAAUGCCAAAAACAACCCCAGUUUUAAAACACCGUCAUCAAAAAAUCCAAAACAAUCAAUCAAAACAGGCUCCUGUUACAAAACACUAUGCGGGUGAAUAGCCAAUCAUCUUCCACCUUAUGGACCGGUUAAACCAAUGUUGAUACCAGAUUCCAGGGCAGUGAUUGGCUGGUUGUAGUUGUGACUCAUAGAGCUAAAAGAGCAACAGACUGAGGAUUAAACAUCAUCCAGAUGAAGCUCAGAGAUCAGAGGAGGGAUUAGGAGAAUGAUAGUGGAUGGGAGGGGGAGUUUAGAGCGCCCUGAGGGGUGAGGAGGGAGGAGAGAAGAUGGGGAAGGGGGAGGUUAUCGCCAUUUGCUUUGUGUCUUUAUGGAUGCAGUCCCACCUCUUCAGGUUGUCCUCAGGGCAUAGUACAGUUAAAACCUUCAUUCAUGGAUGCAUUUCCAAACUUUAUCCUCAGAUGAUGGUUUUAGGAAGUGAUUCUGAGCCCAUGCAGAGGUUUCCACUCCAGAGACACGUCUGUUUUUAAUGUCUGAGGAUCAUGACCUUGUCCCUUUCCUUCAGAGAUUUCUAAAUGAUUUUGUAGACUGCAGAUGAUAAAAUCCCCCAAUCUUUGCAGUCUUACACUGAGGGACAUUAGAUCUGCUGAAUGAUUUACUCACGCAGUCUCUCACAGAGCGCUGACCCUCCUCUCAUCUUCACCCUUGCAGCCUCUUUUAUCCACAGACUUUGGACUUCAUAUAACUAAUCUGCCACUUCAUAGAAAAUCACAGGAGGGGGUAUUUAAUUAGCUGUCAUCUGGAAAACCAUGUUCCUGUUUUAUAAAAGACCAAGUUGACCUUUGACCCCUGCAGCCUGGUCCCCGCUGGGGCUGAUGGGAGCAGAACAAUGGGACCUGCAGGCCAGUGCGCUGAUCUACAAGUGUUACGGCGCCCGGGGUCAGCCGUGUUACCAUACGCUCAUGUCUGGACGGCUUUGUGCUGGCUUCACUGCACAGACACACACACACACACAGAGUUACCAUCAGAAGAUCUUAAUCAGUACUGGUAUAAUUAGAGAAAUAAUCCGAUUAUUGAUUCUGCUUUCACUCUUCGUCUGUUCGCAUGAAUCCAAGCAGAAAGAUUUAGAAGCUGUCAGACAAUGAACUCAAUGAUGGUGUGAAAAUUACACUUUUAUUGACUUACAAAGAAACAAAAUCCACUUCAAAAGUCUCUGAUUUAAAGUAUUUCUGAGAAAAGGUUUGUAACUAAAGUGAAGGUGGCGCUCUGAGCUUGGAAAGUGUUUGUAUUGGUCAGAUUUAGCAUCUAUUCAAACCAUCUCUGCCUUUCAGUUGCUUUAAGUUCAUCUUCAUCAUUCGCCCGGUUUUUCCGUUAUCCCCUGCGGGUCAAAUCUCUCCGUUUCUUUGUACCUGAGCGACAGAUUCACGCCUCUGAUUCAGCCGUUCCCUUCAUUAUCUGUUUUUGUUUGCGAGACAACAGAGGCUCAAACCGACACACUCCUCUGGUGUCUGUCGGCUUUGUGAGGCGCGUGGCGUUUCUCUUUGUCCGCAGGUCUGACUUUUGUUUCAGGGCGUGUGUGUGUGUGUGUGUGACACUUUCAGGUGUAUCUGAUGACCCGGGUAUGCUGAGACGGCGGGAGAUUUAAAAGUUGGAAACAUAAACCUUCUCCUAAGUUUUGGUUUGAAAAUGGUGAUCUCCCUUUGACCUUCUCUGACCUUCCUGAAAAAUUCUACUUACAGUACAGGACCAAUAAUGUUUACAUCGGAUGUUUUCACUCAGGAUUAAUCAAUAAAUGAUCCUACUAAAAAGAGGUUCCUUUAUGUGUGUGUAUGUGUGUGUGUGUGUGGUUUGGCCUGAGGCCUGUCAGAUAAUGCAGCGUGGAUCUAUAGCAGCAGCAGUCACAUCUGUCUCUGCGCUCUCAGACUAACCUGCCUGCUCUUAUUAUCCCCACAUUGACCCCCUCGCCCCCCGCUCGCCGUCUGUAAAACAGCUGACCAGCUGAGGCCCGACAGCCGUUCGCCCCGCAGGAAUUACCCUGAAUGAUCCGCGACACUCAAUGAUUAACUUUUAUUUUGCUCAUUUAAAAACAGGGAUUUGCUCAAGAAUUAACAAGCUAUGAAGAGGAAUCUGUGUUUGGUACUUUCGGUAACCCUUUAAUUAAUGCCAAUCACUGUAAUGCAUAAGAAAUAUAUGUAUAAUGAGUUAUAAUCACGUUAUAGCAGUUUAGUUAUAAACGCUCAUAAAUGAUCAUAAUGCUUUACAGCAAUAAUUAUAACACAUUAUAAAGCAUUUUAUCAUGACUUACAAGGUCAGGUAUUAUAGUGUGUUAUAACUGUUAACAACUCACUGACAGUGCCCACAUAGAUAAUGCAAUACAACUGUUGUUAACAGUUAUAACACAUUUUAAUACCUGACCUUGUAAGUCAUGAUAAAAUGCUUUAUAAUGUGUUUUGAUUAUUGCUGUAAAGCAUUAUGAUCAUCAAUGAGUGUUUAUAACUAUAGUUAUACAGUGCUAUAAUGUGUUUAUAACUCAUUAUACAUGUAUUUAUUAUGCGUUAUAGAGAUAGGCAUCAAGUAAAGUGUUACCAUAAUUUCCUUUAAAUCCAAAUUUAUUAUUUAAGCACAUUUAGAAACAACAAAAUGUUGACCAAAGUGCUGUACAGUAAAAUGAUAAAUCAGACGAUUAACACAAACUAUGAAAAACACAGACAGUAAAAACAGGAGGGCAUAAAUGGUUCGUUGAAAACAUUAAUAAAAGCCAAAUUCUUAAAAGCUGAAAGACUAAAAGAGCGUUUUUUACGUUUGAUUUAAAGACAGGCAGUGAAAAGUUCCGUCACCCCUGAGCUUCAACCUUGACCGACCUCAGGACAGUCAGAAGACACCGGUCAGAGGAUCUGAGAGUCUGAGUGUAGCGACUGCUUUCCUUCAACAAAAACGCUUGUCUCUGCGAUCCGUUAGUUCAUCAGUCCGGUUGAGUGUUAAAGGUGAUUUAUUGUUCAAAUAAAGAAGGAAAACUUACAGUCUAACACUGAUCCAGAUCCAAACUUUGCCUUAAAAUGAAAAGCAAUAAGAUGAAAUGAGGGUGAAAAGGGAUAAGUGAAAAACGGUCAACGGAAAACUAUCAGAGCCAAACAUCCUGAAACCACUCAGUGUCGAAGUGACACACCGAUUUGACAAGGUUAGGAAGAUAAAAAGGAGCAAGCCCGUUUAAAGAUUUUUAAGUUAAUAAAAUUCUUCACACAGAAAUCCAAUGAAGAGAGAGUCAAAUUGGAAAAAACAUGGUCAUAUUUUCAUCGAUCAGUUUAAAGAUGAGCUGCUGCAUGUUGAACAACUCAGAGAGGUUUGUCUGGCCCCAAAAUAAAGAGCAUCACAGUUAACAAGACAAGCUGUGCAUUCCUUUUUAAAAUCACUAAAAGAUAAAAGAGACUUCACCUUAGUUAAAAGAGGAAGAUGAUAAAAACUGGCACUUCUACACUCUACCACACUUUAAAAUUUGACUCUCCACCAUCAGCUGUUUAAAUUCUUGUCCUCGACUCUCAGUUUAAAUAAAGUUUCCUCCAGACAUGAUGAUAAAUCACUGACUUCAUCUGCACGGCUCGGCCAUGAUGGAUCAUUUGAAUCAGCGCAGUGUUACUAAUUAUUCGAUUAAUGGCGGACCCCACUGAGUGUCAACACCCAUAAUCCCUUGCUGCUUUUGAGGGGAAUGCCAAUAAGGGAGCCACAUGCUAAGAGGCUGAGUGCAGAUUGCAUGCGACCACUAUUGACUGAGCGGUGGGGAAAUGUCCGCACUGAUUGUGACCUAAAGCCUCUGAGAUGUCCUGAGAUGAUUCCAGUGAGACGAUAAGGAGAAGAGGGGGACAUAACCUCAUAUCAUGUGCUGAGAUUUAUGCCCCUGAUUAUAUUAUAGUUGAUUGUAUCAUGUGUUUUUAUGCAUUAUUAUAUCAGAAACUUUCAUAAGCGGAUUUCUGCAAACUCUGAUUUCUCUUUUUUGCGGUCAAAAGGUGGAUUUAGCAUCAGGACUUAAUUUCGCUGAAGGCCUCAAGGACCAGCAUUUAUCCCUCUGUCACUGUCUGUGUACCUUCAGUGGGAGCCCGCGGUGGUCCCCGUGGACUCUUGUCACCGGACUGUCAGGAACAGGCUGCGAACACAACACGGCGUCACUUCACGGAUCAAUAAGUGAAGACGAGAUGAACGAGGUCAGAGGGAGAGAGAGAAGAUGGAUGAGAAGCGUCCCCCCUCGUUUGUUCGCCUGUUCACACUCUGCUCUGCAUUACCUGGAUCACAGAGCACACACUCCCUGUGGGGCACACACACACACACACACACACACACACACACACACACUUUUACGUACACAGAGGAACAGCGGGCAAACAAUCAAUUUACACCACUUAGUUUGUCAUUUGGAGUUUAUCAUUUGGUUUUUAUCACCGCUCUGUAUUGAUUCCCGACAGGAGGAGACACAAAGUGAUUUCAGUGAGAAAAACUGAGCGCCAAAAUCUUCUUCGUCGUUUAGAGGGAGAGACGAUUUUUAUAAAAGCCGAGGAUGGCAGAAAAAAAAGGGUUUUGGAUAACCUGAUUAUUAAAGUCCAUCUCAAAUCCCAACUUUAAUCCAAUUUAAUCCUGCAUGCCAACAAAUUAAUAGAGCUGCAGUAAUAGUGUCAGUCCCAUACAACAUAUUUAAUAUGACGUGUUGGUCCAUUUGAUAAAGAUCAGCUUUACGCUGACUAAAUAUGUGUUUUGUUGGUCUUAUACGUGUAAUCUGGUGAAUUAAUCCAAUGUGUUUACAACAGUAUUUGAUAGCUUGUAAAUAUAAAUAGUGCAAAGACAACCAAUAUUGAAGCUAGGUCUGUCACAAUGUCCUGGUAUUGACGAUAACAGCAUAUGCUUAUACCUGGAGUUUAUGACUGUGGUUGCCACAGAAGAAGCAACAGCCAUACUUGGACUUCUUUAGGCUAACUGUCUUCACACACCAAGCGGGAGUAAAAUCAUUUGUGCAAAUAAAUUCAAUGUUAAGUCAAUGCAAAGACGCAAUUAGUCGCUACUACUACUCUGGCGGCAUAAAUGACGCGAAUCAGGCGGGAGCUGAAAAUGUCUCAACUUGAGCGAAUAUUCCCGUCGCGAUAACUAAUCAUGAAGAAGGUUGCCGGGUGACGUAUGAAAACAGACUGUUGUUCAUCUGAAAUGGAGAAAAAACUGAUUGUGUUGGUGUGCCUGGUUAGUUGUAAAAAAAAAAACAAACCUUUGUCUAUCACUUGAUCCCGCCGGUUGAGUUGGCAGGGAUUACCGUUGAAAUUACCGCUGAUACGCGAAUGAAGCGAGUAAAUACUAUUCAUUCAGGAGUCUAGAUUUGAGCGAAUUAAGCGAGGAGAUGAUUUUACUCGCGCUUGCUGUGAGCGCCCCGUAAAUAUUUUUUUCUUGUUAAGUGUUAUUUUAACGUUUUUCUGUAACUUGCGAUCUACUGAAAGUAGUAAACUUCAAAAUAAAAGUUUAACCAAGCAGAAAAUAAAGCAUCUGAACACCGGACGGAAAAACCAAGAAAUCCUAAUGAAGCUGAGAAUCGACAUGACUCUGUAGUGGAAGUUACUACAUUGGCCCAAAAUCACAUCCUAAAACAGUGUCUGUGCAUCUAAAACGCAGGUUCACAUGAGGUCUUAACUCUGUUGAAAUGGAGGUAGAAUAAUAUAAUAUUGUGUUUCUGCACAUUUGAAUAGAAUAGAAUAGAAUAUUCCUUUAUUGAUUUGUCACAGCAGCAUCACAGACAAAAAUGCAGUUAUAAAAAUAAGGAUCCUAAUAUUAAGAAAUUUAAAUAAAUGUAAUAAUUAAGAAAAAAAAUAGAAAAAGGAAAAAGGGAGAAGAAAAAUAAAACUAUCUACAAUAUACACAAUUUAAGUACCAGAAGAAAGUGGUGGUGUGAGUCCAGUUAUUAUUACAGUUCGUUGUGAAGUCUUAUUGCAGAGGGGAGGAAUGACCUGCGGCUCCGUCUUGUAAGGUGGAAGUCUCAGUCUGCAGCUGAAGGAGCUGCCUAAAGCCCCCACAGUCUGAUUCAGUGGGUGAGAGGGAUUGUCCAUGAUGGAUACAAGCUUUGUUAACAUCCUCCUCUCACCCACCUCCUCCAGGGAGUCCAAAGAACAGUCCAGGACAGACCCGGCCCUCCUGACCAGUCUGUUCAGUCUCUUCCUGUCCCUCUCGGUGCUCCCUGCCCCCCAGCAGACCACCGCAUAGAAAAGUGCAGAUGCCACCACAGAGUCAUAGAAAGUCCUGAGCAGAGUCCUGCACACUCCAAAAGACCUCAGUCUCCUCAGCAGGUGGAGACGACUUUGGCCCUUCUUGUACAGAACGUCUGUGUUUGUUGACCAGUCCAGUUUGUUGUUGAGGUGGACACCCAGGAAUCUGUAGGACAGUCUGAGGUGUCCUCCUCCUGCAGAAAUCCACAACCAUCUCCUUUGUCCUACUGGCGUUGAGCUGGAGGUGG
rnacentral:lncRNA from 1 species